UAAACUUUUCUGCGCACCUCAUACUCUUAUUAUCGCAUAGCCAAACGCGAACCUGCUCGUCGACGGAUACAACUUUUCACAGCUAAAUACCGGCGCGAAUGCAACUAAAUAUAAAUAUACGUUAAACAUGAAACGCCCUAUAUACGAUGCACAUAAUUCAGGUAACCCAAAUUCUAAAUAUCACGCACGUAAACAUGUCUAUUUUAAAUUGAAUUCAAGAAAUAUUCUUCUCGGGCUCCACCGGUUCAUUAGAAAUAAUUUCGACUAACCGAGAACCCUUUUCGCUUUACCUUGAAACGGGAAAGAGUUAAGGCCAAAAUGUGGUAUAAAAUACGGCGGGCACGAGGAGCGAAAUUGGCACGUUACCUGGUGUACACGUGACGGUCAUAGAGCGAAGCUGUUGUAAAAGAUAUUUACGAAUAUCAGCGUGCAAGCACGUCGCCUCGUCGGUUUGCAACAUUCCGCUGUUCCAACAUUGAACAUAAAGAGGGAAGAAAAAUACGAAGAAAAAGCAGGUGUUCCUGGCGACCGCGGGUCAGACAGGUGGCGAUUAUGUUCUCGGUUAAACGCAAGCAACGUUUGUAUUUAAUCAAUAUUAUUCCGCGAGAAAUCCUGAAUGCUUUCGUCGUUGACUCUUUUUGCAUCUGUCCCGGAGAUUCAAUGAUUUAUUCCGCGAUCAUCAGACGCGGUGUAUUAGAUGGAAAUUCGUGGCUAAGAAUAUCAAUUCUCAGAAUUUUCAUGUACUCAAUCAUGCGUGCAUUUUUCUCACGCACUCUUUGUAUGAAAUAAUAUAUCAAACGAUACAAGAAGCACUGUUCUACGUCGCUUUCGACUGGAAAAGACUUUGUCCGGCUCCAGGAUAAAGAAUUCGAAGAAAGAGGUGUUACUCCGUCACUCAGGCAUGGUUUUAGUUUCGCUGCUUACCGGGCGCCGAAAAUAAGCUCGCCGGAUCGUACGUAACGGGAAACAUCAUGGUCGCGGAUUCUAUUUGCGGACAGUAUCAAGGGAGCGGUCGGAAAUGCUGCGAAAAUUCAUUCAAGAAACCAUUCCAACCGGUUACGUCGUCCGCGGAUAUUUCGCGUAAUUAUCGCGGCGACCUUUGCGACCAGAGCCGUCUGAAAAUAGUGAAUCGUGGGUGUCGGCUGCAUUUUAACGAACCGUAAUCGCCGCUCGCGAAGCCCGCAAUAAACAGACGGCGGCAUGAGACGCGCGGAACUUAUCAUCGCAUAACAAUCGACUUACUAGCGCAUAGCUUGUGUGGGUCACCCGAUUCCAAUCUAAGAUCUGGCGCACAGCCUAAACUUCUCAAAGGUUAACGAUCUUACCCUCGCCCCGAGAGAGAGAGAGAGAGAGAGAGAGAAAGAAAAAAGAAAAAAGAAGUCGAUCGAUCGAUCGAUCGAUCGAUCGAUCGAUCGUUAAGCCGUUCGUUCGAUCUUCAUCCAUUUCCAGGAUCAACCCGUGAUAUUAAAGGCACGAAGAUAUUUAGACUAGGUUCAGGUUCCGUACGACAGCUCGACAGAAUCGUAUCGCGAAAGAUGAAGCGCCAGUUUAUGUUUGGAAGCGGUAGUUAGCCGAUCGGAGGAUGUGAACCCCGACUAUGAUCGAUGUCUUCGACCGCAUACAUUUCCUAUAUAUAUCGUCUAUUUAUACGUGACGCGGACAGAAACGACGAGGAAAGUAUCUAAAUUUUGUAGCUCGGUCGUAUAGAGUAUGAAAAACCUUCGUAAAGACUUCCAACAAAUCAUAAGCGUCGAAAUAAACGUGGACACUUAAACGCGAGUUGUCUAUUUCUUGGCCGGUAUUUACUACUGUACGCGAACACGAUUCCUGAAGGACCCUGACGACUAUUCCCCACGUAUCGCGUUGCGAUACCAGUUAACAUUAGAUAAGCGAUUCUGUAACCUUCGCCGAUCCACCGGUACGCUACGUUUUUACAUUCCGACACGCAUCUACGUACUUUCACCGUUUCGCGCUAACGACACGAUUACCGCGAAAACGUGGACGUCAACGGGAGGUAAUCUGUGAUGUAAUUUACACCCACGAAAUUGGCAAGCUUUUCAAUCGUGGACCGUGUCCACUGACGGUUAAGUAUCUCUGGUUGGAACGCGUAACGUUUGCGACGCCGGAUGGCCGCAGGAAAAUUGGCAACAAUUUAAAUUAAAGUCUCGUUUCAUUUCGAACGAUUAGAAGAAUGCAACAUGACCUAUUUCAGAGGGGAGAAAUGAUCAGCUCCCUAGUUUAUUUUAUGCGCAGUUCGUAUCUCAAGAAAAUAACACGGAUGUAUGUCAUUCUACCAUCGACAGUUUCGUUUCCUAUAUUACAUUUUCUGUAUGUGCAACGUAAUCGUGAAAGGAACGCGGAAAGAUUAAAGGAUGCUACGUUGCGUCGAUGAGAGUAUCGAUGAAACUGUUACCAGACGUGAAUCAAAUGUAUGGCUCGCGCCACGAUCGUUAUUCUCCAACAAUAGUUUCCCAAUUUCAUAUCGACAUACUAUUAUAUACUUAUCACUUUGAAAGAUAUUGUCACUCUUAGAUAUCUCAGUGAUGUCGAAAUCCCCGAUUCAUUUAUCACUGAUAAACUACAAACCGAUAUCAAGGUAGAAAUUGAUAUAGAAAUCAUGUAGAAUUGAAAUACAGUUUCACAAAGAUGAUUUCAGUGCGUGAGAUUCGUGGUUACACUGAGACGGUUGUCAACUACAAUUCUUUCGUGAUUUACAUCGGUCGCGGCUAACGAAGACGUCCCGGGGCCGAAGCGAAUAAAUUCAGUUGAAUUUUUGUUAAAUCAGAGAGGAUUGAUUCAUCGAAAACGCUCUGGAGUAUCGGCUUGAAAAUGACUCAGUGCUCGAUUAUUUUUGUCAUAAAGUCCGAAAAUACAAUCGAAAGGGUCGUCGAGACUAACAUGUAAUCGAGUCGGAGCCUUGAGCCUCUGCCAAAAAUUAAGAAAACGUUUUCAACGCGUACUUGAAGCUGUUCCAUUUUGUCAAUAGACACCGUAUUAACCUGCUUCCCUUGUAUCAUGUUCCGCGGACUCUUUUCUCGGAUGUAAUUAUCUCUUCUCGGAUGAAUUAUCAAAAUUCAGGUUCACCGAUGAUUCGACAGCGUAAUUUUAUGCUCAAAUGAUUACGUCUAAUAAUUUUAAAUAUGCACCUGCACCCGAUGAUCUGAAGUAGGUUAAAAUAAUCGCAGCGCAAGAUCAGUGAAUUAAAAAUCACACGCUCCGUUUACAGUUGCGGUCGCAGGUAGAUCGUCGAAAGUCGCAUCGUCUACCUACGCGAGGUUAUGUGCAACCGUUUAAAAAUCAACGGCCGAUUAGCUGCGAGCGUUCGAAAUGAACACGUUUACAAGUACAAAUAAUGUCACCUGACAAUUUCCUCGAUAUCAGGAAUUAUGGUCAUCAAGAUACCUCGUACAAAAAAUCAACGGGCAAACACUUCGACUACGUGUUCCUGUCACAGUGCUCCUCGAUCACAAUCGUUCCGAGCAUUCCUGUACACUUGUUUCGCGGUGAUGAGAAAACCAUAGAUUCAAUGUAUCGCUCAAAAAAAGAUAAGGCUCGCCAAUGGUUAAAAAGCAGAAACGAAACCGCACGCGCGCACGGAUGAGAGAAAGAGAGGGGAAAAGAAGGAGAGUGAGAGAGAGAGAGAGAGAGAAAUGAGAUCGGUAGAACAGGUGAAAAGAAAAAACCAAGUGAGAAUAAUUGAAAGCGAAGUGAAAAAGGUGUACGUUUUGUAACGUGAAA